CCUACGGGAGGCAGCAGUGAGGAAUAUUGGACAAUGGGGGGAACCCUGAUCCAGCGAUGCAGCGUGAAUGAAGAAGUAUUUCGGUAUGUAAAGCUCUAUCAGCAGGGAAGAAAGAAAUGACGGUACCUGACUAAGAAGCCCCGGCUAACUACGUGCCAGCAGCCGCGGUAAUACGUAGGGGGCAAGCGUUAUCCGGAUUUACUGGGUGUAAAGGGAGCGUAGACGGCGAUGCAAGUCUGAAGUGAAAGGCGGGGGCCCAACCCCCGGACUGCUUUGGAAACUGGAUGGCUGGAGUGCAGGGGAGGUAAGUGGAAUUCCUAGUGUAGCGGUGAAAUGCGUAGAUAUUAGGAGGAACACCAGUGGCGAAGGCGGCUUACUGGACUGUAACUGACGUUGAGGCUCGAAAGCGUGGGGAUCGAACAGGAUUAGAUACCCGUGUAGUC
rnacentral:rRNA from 1 species